rnacentral:rRNA from 1 species
CGCUAGUACUCUAGCGGGCAUGCCUGUUCGAGCGUCAUUUCAACCCUCAAGCUCUGCUUGGUGUUGGGGCCCUACGUCCGACGUAGGCCCUGAAAGGAAGUGGCGGGCUCGCUGCAACUCCGAGCGUAGUAAUUCAUUAUCUCGCUAGGGAAGUGCGGCGUGCUCCUGCCGUUAAAGACACCAUCUUUAACCAAGGUUGACCUCGGAUCAGGUAGGAAUACCCGCUGAACUUAAGCAUAUCAAUAAGCGGAGGAAAAGAAACCAACAGGGAUUGCCCUAGUAACGGCGAGUGAAGCGGCAACAGCUCAAAUUUGAAAUCUGGCUUCGGCCCGAGUUGUAAUUUGUAGAGGAUGCUUUUGGUGAGGUGCCUUCUGAGUUCCCUGGAACGGGACGCCAGAGAGGGUGAGAGCCCCGUAUAGUCGGCCACCGAUCCUCUGUAAAGCUCCUUCGACGAGUCGAGUAGUUUGGGAAUGCUGCUCAAAAUGGGAGGUAUAUCUCUUCUAAAGCUAAAUACUGGCCAGAGACCGAUAGCGCACAAGUAGAGUGAUCGAAAGAUGAAAAGCACUUUGAAAAGAGGGUUAAAUAGCACGUGAAAUUGUUGAAAGGGAAGCGCUUGUGACCAGACUUGCGCCGGGCUGAUCAUCCAGUGUUCUCACUGGUGCACUCGACCCGGCUCAGGCCAGCGUCGGUUCUCGCAGGGGGAUAAAAGCUUCGGGAACGUGGCACCUUCGGGUGUGUUAUAGCCCGUUGCUUAAUACCCCUGCGGGGACCGA